UCCAUGUUCCAUUCUGGUUAAAAUGACUAUACAAAAUCACAUGUUGAUAUAUGUUGCAGUCAUACUGACCUGUGUUUUAAUAAAAGUGCUUCCAACGUCUCACAUGUGGAUUUUGACUUAAAAAAAAAACAUCUAACCCACAAUAUCGAAAUAUAUAUCGUAUAUCGCCAUUCAGCCAAAAAAUAUCGGGAUAUCAUCUUUUGCCCAUAUCGUGCAGCCCAACGAUAGACUCAUGACAUCAUUCUGGGGACAUCCAAACAAUUUGGUGACCUUUGACCUCAGGGGCACGCCAAACAGGAAGUGAGCUAAUAUCUCUGCAAGGCCUUCAUGCAUCCAAACCAAACUUGGCUCAUAGUCUUAUGACCCUAUCCAGAUGAUGCCCAAAUAAUAUGGUGUGAUUUGACUUUUAGGGGUGCGUUGUUAGCAGUCUAUUCCAGCCCUUAGAAAGCAACUUCAAUGUAUUUUCAUUGUGAUACCCAUUUGCCAAUAACUUUCAUUGUCAGUCAAAACUAAUCAUAUGUAUUUUUUCAUGGUCAUAUCUUAUCCCGUGUUACAUAAAACUGAUAACAUAUCAAUCAUAUUCAAUCAUCAUGUAAAUCCGACAUGCAGCAUACAAACAGAACACUACUUCAUUUAUUUCAAUGUUAUUUGCGCUGAACAGCGCUCAUUAAUGGGUAGACACUGCACCCAUAUGGCGACAAGCGGUACUUAAUGUACAAUGCAACAAUGACUAUAUUUACCAUUCCGCCCAGAUACAAUAUUAACUGCAAUUCCCACUGGAUUAGAUGCUUCACGAACCACCUCCAGAACGGAUGCUUGUUUACAUUGUGUCUCUUUUAGGGAUAUUGUUCCGAAUACCCCUAUGUAUUUGUGAAAUUUUGUUCUGUCAGGCAGACUGUAUUGCGCCCUUACCUCUAGGUGGGGUUUUUUUCCCAUUUGGUAAACAUUGACGCGUACUCGCAGAAUGCUCAUCCCACCGGCUGUCAGUAUUACCGAUUACCGAGACGGUCGUCAUGUAGCCACCUAGCCGAUUACAUCCGUCCAGCAAAAUUAGUUCAUCAAUUCCCAUUAUGCCUGAUCCCCACACUACUGCUUGCAGCUAUAUUUUCUAAUUAUUGUUCUAAUUCUAUGACAGGUUAUCUGCAAGUUUCAGCAUGUCAAAUUCAAGACUUUUUAUUACCACCUUGAAUGAUGUUUUAAGACCUAAAACACGCAAUGGUGGGGGUUCGCAACAGACGCAAGCCAACUUCGGAAACGGACGUCUUCCAGCAAACUUUCCUUGAAUUUGCACCUACCCAUUGUCGCAGAUUAGCCAGCAAGCACAAAGAUAAUCGUUUAAAUAUGCAGCUAUCAAGAAAGAAGCCUCUCUACAUGUCCUUCCUGAAAAGCUCCCAGAGAAAAAUAGAAAAAUAAAUAGUCCUGCCCGACAAAUUUAAGACCUUGAGUUACAGUAUUUAAGACUAGCAUGUGACAUUUGUACCGAGUUUAAAACUUUAAGGCCUUAAAUUUAGAAACAUGAAUUUGAGACUUCUUAAGACUUUUUAAGGAUACACAGACACCCUGUAUGAUUAAUGGGAAUAAAGGGCGCCACUAGAGGGUGCCCCCAACACAUUUGUCACUCGCCUCGGCAAUCUCCUCGUUCGCUUAUAGCAACCGGCGGCCCUGGCUGCAGCUGGCGUUGCAUUGCAGACACGCAGGGCUUAUAAACAGGGGUGAGUCCUCGUGUGGAUCUUCAGGCUGGAGCGCUUUGUGAAGCUCUUCUUGCAUUGGUCACAGCUGUAGGGCUUCUCGCCGGUGUUGAUCUUCAUGUGGGUCUUCAGGUUGGAGCACCCUGUGAAGCACAUUGUGCAUUGGUCACACCUGUAGGGCUUCUCGCCGGUGUGAGUCUGGAUGUGCUUCCUCAGGGUGCUUUUCAGUCCAAAGCUCUUCUUGCAUUGGUCACACCUGUAGGGCUUCUCGCCGGUGUGAGUCCUUAUGUGGUUCUUCAAGUUGGAGCCAUCUGUGAAGCACUUCACGCAUUUGUCACACUUGUAGGGCUUCUCGCCGGUGUGAGUCCUUAUGUGGUUCUUCAAGCUGGCGCGCUCUGCGAAGCGCUUCACGCAUUGGUCACACUUGUAGGGCUUCUCGCCGGUGUGAGUCCUGAUGUGCACCUUCAGGUGGCCUUUCCGUCCAAAGCUCUUCUUGCAUUGGUCGCACCUGUAGGGCUUCUCCCCGGUGUGAGUACUCAUGUGGACGAUCAUAUCGGCAUCGUUUGGUAAAACCUUGCCACCCAAGACACCGGGCCGGCCCUUGCGGCCGCCCCGAUGCCCAGUCAGCUCCUCAAGGCGGACCAGCCGCACGCUGCAGUUCAGGCUCUUGGCCACGCUGUGGUCAGCGGACAGCGAGCUCAAGGCCUCCGGUUCCGACGCAGCAAAGAGGGUGUCAUGGCCGUCCACCGCCAGUGGGUCCUCUCCUUUUCCAUAGACGCUCAGGAUCCGCAGCUCCCCGUUGUGACUGGCCAUGUGGGAGGAGCCAGGGGCGUCCACACGCAGACUCUCUGAGUAGGCGCUGCGCUGCGUGCUGCAGCCUCUAAUGUCUUGGGCGUCUUCUUCAGAGAGGAAAACGAAUGCAGAAAGUAAUUGUUAUGAUACAUAACAUAGAUAGUUACAGACUUGCAUAGAUGC
ensembl:lncRNA